UUUCCCUAUGGCGUAGCUAGUUCUUCUAGGAAGAUCUUGUCAUCUGGUUGAUAUUAACGGAGGACGUAGAGACUUUCUUUUCAGUCUUAGAGAAGAUUCUUGAGAAUUGUGGAUGUCCAAGUGCAUAGAGUUAAACUAAGCCUAAUGCAGUUUGAGUUAGAAAAUUAUUGAGGUAACUUUAGAUAAAUAAAUAAGCAUAUUAACUCGUACAUAUUUCAGGUAUUUAUUGACAUAAUUAGAUUUUCAAAAUUGUAAAUGUUAAUAAUUUUGGCAUUUAUUUUGACCUCCCACCCCCCUUUUCUACUAAUUUGGUCC
rnacentral:lncRNA from 1 species